UCGCAUUCAUUCCUUGAUCUGCAAGAAACGUCAGUAACACCAAAGCCUUUUCACUUUGAAUCGCUUCCACAACAGAGCUCCAACCGGAGUGUGUCAAGAACCCACCCAUCGACUCAUGCCUCAAUAUUUUCAACUGUGGCGCCCAGGUAGUCCACACAACACCCCGCCCUUUGGUUCGUUCCUCAAACCCCUCCGGUAAUUCAAUUGGGUCUGGGUCGCUUGGUCCUCGUCGUGUCCUAAACACCCAAAAGAAUCGCAGCUCUGAUUUUUCCAAUCCUAAAGCGAUUUCUGUCAAUUCAUUCUGACUGGGCUUAGCCUCACUUCCAAAUGCCACGUAAACCACCGAAUCUUUGGGUUGUUUGUCCAGCCACUCUUUAAUCCUCUCCCACGCUGGAUUCUCAUCCCCCGUUUCGUACUCUGACGUUGGAAGUUGACCUACCGGAAAAAUAGGUUUACCGUAUACAUCACCAAGUAAUUGAAUCCACUCUUGUCCAAAUUCAGGGCAGCCUCUCACAACCACCAAAUCGCUGUAGUGGGCACUCAUUUUCAUGCGAUAUAAAUCAGAAACUCCGGUGAUGUUACCGGCUACACUGUCGAAGAUCCUCAUGAUUUCGAAGUGGCGAAACACCACGUUUGUUGGGAAGGGAACCCAAUGAGGGGAAACAGUAAAAUCUUCUGGUUUAAUUCGGUUAUCGCCGAACAUGGGUCCGACAAAUACAAGAAAUUCAGGAGUGAAAAUACUAAAGAAAGCAGUUUUGAUACCAAGUGUGGGUCCGAUGUCUUGACUCAACCAAUAGGGAGCGAAGUCGAACAAAAUCCAAUCGACAUCGGAAGAUCGAAGAAAGUCAAAGAUGGGUUGCUUGAGGUCGUCGAAGGCCUUUUUAAGAAACUGAACCUUGUCGUAAGGGACAUCGGAUGUGGCCUCUGCGUCGGGGGGCAGAUCAUUGAUUUGAGGGAAAGGAAGUUUGACGAAGCGGAGAAAAGAAGAAAGAUGGGGAGGGAGUUUGGUGGGGAGACGGUCGAUGUUUUUGGGAGUGGAAACGAAAGAGACUCGGUGACCUUUCUGAGCAAUAAGUUUGGAGAGCUCGAGAAAAGGAAUCAUAUGACCGAAAGCUAUCCAUGGGAAGAUGACAAUAUGAAGCUUCUUGUCGACGGCCAUGGUAUUCUGGGUCGGUUGCUUUGGUAGUGCAAAAUGUCAUAUUAAAUAAUGGAUGUAUGAAAGGAAGGAUAUAUAAUAUAAAUUAGAAAGGUAGAAGGAAGAAGAUAAUGGAACGGAAUACAAAAGAAAACAAGAAAGGGAAGAAAAAGUGAAGUUGGUAAGGUAUAAGGAAGAAAGAAAAGAAAGCAAAAUUAGGAGACUGUCUUUGUUGGAUGGGAAGAAAUAAGAAGAAGGAGAGCGAGAGGGAGAGAGAGAGAGAGUUUAGGGAUGUGAGAAGAGAAGAGAGAUAAUUGAAAUCAAAAUACGGCCAAACAAAAUAAAAAGCGGAGAAAACAAAUUUGAAAAUAAUUGAAGGAAGAUUAGUCCUUUUCUUUUUUAAUGAAAUCCAUCAUCUACAUUUUUAUUGGUUUUUUUACUUGCUUGGAGGUUUUGAUAUUUUAUUAUUAUUUAAAAUAAUACGAUUAUCAUAAUUCUACAUUAUUAUACUUUAUAGUAAUUUUUGUUUGAGUAAAUUAUAUUUUAUAUAGUUGAGGAAUAAACUAUUUUAAUUUUUUUAAAAUACACUAAACGUUAUAGUAAAAAACUAAAAAGAUUUAUAUGCUGUGGGAGAAGGAUUACAACAUUGUUGCCACAUAAAUGUCAGACUUAGUUAAAAUUGGGUUUGAAAGAACAACAACCUUUUUCUAUUUUUAAGACUUGUCCUCUCGUAUACAUUCUAAAAAUUCUAUCUUAAUAAAAAAUAUAUUUUAAAUUAUAAUUUUUUUUAAAAACAUUUACAAAUAUAAUAAAAUGUCAUGAAUAUUGAUAAUAUUUAGUAUAUGUAUCUAUUUGGUAAUAUUUUGCUAUAAUUUAUAAAUAGUUUUAUUCGUUUUGCAAUGUUUGAAAAUAACUCUUCGAAGAUAGUUUUAGUAUAUGAAUUCAUUCAUUUCAUGCUUAUUUUUCUAAUGGUAAAUUAUGCUUAUUUAUCUAAAUGGUAAAUUGAAAUUGUGGUUCAUUUUUUCAAUUUUUUCGGUACAACACUAGUCGGUUUUAGAAACUAUCAAAUCGACAGUGGCUGUAUUUGGUUUUCAAGUUUUUUUUUUUUUUUUGUCGCACAUCCCUCUAUUUGCAAGUUUCAUUUUCACAGACUUUGAUUUUUCUUGGUUAAUUACUUGUGUUAUAUUUUGUUGUUAGCUUGUUAAGAUCUUGUAUGGUCUGUUGUGUAUAGACACUCAUAUGCAUACUUUACUCAAGAAGAUCAAGAAAUAUACAACAAAACUACACAUACUAAUACAAAUUGUUCCGAAAAAAUUUGCUUUCUAAUAAAAAUAAAUAAUGCCAACUAAUAUGCAAAAAAAAAAAAAAAAAAAGAAUGUCGAUGAAAAUAGUUAUCUCCAACCAUGUAAAAUACUAAAAGUUGUUUGAGAUGUUAGUCGUCGUUAUUGUAUAAUUUAUACUCCAUGUUCAUGAACAAACUACAUUUUAGGUUAUUAUGAACAAACUACUUCACUUUAGGUUACAAUAAUAUACCUUUUGGGUACAAACUAUGUUAUGUGUGGAUUACAAAUAAAAGAAUAAGACAUAAUACAAAAUAGUUUAUUCAACUUUAGUCUACAUAGUUUCAAUUCUUAAAUUCUUAAAGUUAAUUUCUUUUUUAAAUUGGUUAAAUAAUUAUAAUUUCGUGAAUAUACUCUCAAAAUUUAUAACCAAAAUGAUAAUAGAUAAUAAAAAGUUUUAGAAAAUUAUGGAUAACCUACGGUUGAAGAUUAAGUUUAAAAUGAUUGAAAAUAAAAAGGGUAACGUUAGACACUUGACUAAAAUUGAGAACAAACUUCAAGAUAAAUAAGAUGGAAUGGAAUCUUUCUUAUUAUUGUUAUUAUGAAACAAGUAUGUGUUUAAAUUACAUAGAUCAAAAUAUUAUUCCAACAAGUGGAGCCUCCCUAAAUUUGUUCAAAUUACAUAUAUUGCUAUUGCUUAUUAAUCUCCAUCAGUAUUUCAAAAUUGCUAUUUGGUUCAGUUUGGUUUUUGGUCAAAAGAAGUAUAUUUAGUGUACACAUUUUAAAGUUAACUGUCAAUAUGAAAUCAUCACCCUCCUAACAUGAAACUCUGGAAACCAUUGCCUACAUGGAAAGACCAAGCCAAACAAAGACUACCAUAUCAAGAUUUCUUACACAUUAAAUUUAGUUCAUCCUUACCUCAAGGGUUCUUCGAUGAUCCCCAUUUCUUUGUGCUAUUAGAUAAUCUAAUAUCUGAUCAAUUAACAUGUCUCGUCUUUUUCUUUAUUCACAAAUAAAUCCUUCAUCUCUCUUAUUCUCUUUCUAUAAAUUUUACCUUCUUCUACUACUACAUACUUCAACGAUUCUGCCAUGGAAUAAUCUCUUGUAAAUGAACCAUCCAAUCCAUUCCUUCGAAUUGAGUAACUCAUCUUCUCCUCUUCCAAGACUCUGGCAUUGAUUCCUUGAUCUGCAAGAAAUGAUUAGUAAUACCAAAUCUUUUUGACUCUGAAUUGCUUCCACACUGGAGCUCCAACCACAAUGGGUCAAAAACCCACCCACCCACUCAUGAGUCAUGCCCCAAUAAUAGAAAAAGAAAACUUUAGUGGAGAAGAAAAAUAAUUAGAGUGGACCUUCGACAACACACAUUAUUGCACCAAUUAAAAUUUAUCAGGUGUCCAAAUUUUUUAAAAAAAUAUUUCUCUUUUUACGUAUUUAUAGAAAGAAAAGUAUGAAGUUUAAGCUGAACCUAAAUAUUUGCUUCUAAUUUGUAAAAGUGAUUUGUGGAUCAAUCACUCACCAAAGAAUAUGUAAAUUUGUCAUGAUAACACACUAGGAAGAGAAUAGGUGUGAACAAUUCCUUCAAAAAAAAUUACGUUUUCUUCCUCUUCUUUUUUUUUAUUGCAAUUGAGUGGAGAACAGAUUCCAAUUCUUAAUAUUUUAAAUAAUAAUCAUCUUCAAGGUUGAUUAUUUCUUAAUUCAUCACGUUUCAAACAAUAUAUAAAUUGUUUACAAUUUAUUUAUUUCUAAGUAAAAAAAGUUAUGAUUUAGAAUAUAGUUUAAGGAUAUAGUUAGAAUACAAUUACAGGUGGAAUUAUAAAAAAUAACAAGUGUAACAAACUAUUUAUAAAUAUACAAAAUUUUAGAUUUUAUUAAUAUAAGAUUAGUAGAAGUUUAUCUAUUAUAAUAGAAUUUAAAAUUUUAUUUUAAAUAUUUUAGUUUACUUUACUAUAUUCUUCAAAAAAAAUAUAUAAUUUUUUUAUUUUAAAAAAUUAAAAUGUUUAUUCAAUCAUUUAAAAUAGUUUUUUAUAUUUUCUUUUACAAAUUUUAUUAAAAAAUUUAGAUAAAAAUAAGUUUAAAACUUAUUUUUCAAGUUGAUCCAAACCAUACAAAUGUUGAGUUUUAAAAUUGAAGGACUAAGUUAGAGUCGUUAAAUAUUUUUGAGAAAAUCAUUUAUCGAAGUUUAGGUCGGAGUGAAAUCUUUUUCUUGAGGUUUUAACAACGCAGAAUUUAUUAUACUUUAAAUAAAUAAAUGUAUAGUUUACAGUUUUGCUUUUCCCGAUGAAGGAUAUGGCUGUAUCGUGAAUCUCUAGGGCGGUGAGAAUUAAAAGAAUAUGGGGCGCAAAAUUUGCAACUUUCUUUAUUCUAUUUUAAAUGAAAACUAUUUUUUGAUUGAUCUACUACAAGAAAAAAACGAAUUAAUUUGGAUAUAGUUGUAAGGAAAUAGAAAGGGAAAAAAAACCUGUAUAAAAUAUAGGAAAGGAAAAUUUAAGUUGAUCAGCGAGAGAGUUUCAUGAAUUUUGUUUAAAAAAGAAACUUUUAAUUUGACUUUUGCAUGCUGGGCGGAUGGGAUGAAAUUUAGAUAGUAACUGUACAAAAGGGUUUUGUUCUUGAUACAACAAAUACUUUUACCUCUUUAGUUUAUAGAUGUGAUUGGGGAUGAGGAGAAAAACAACAUCUAAUCAUUAGCUCCUGAUGUGCUAUGAGUCUUGGGAUUCAGUAACAAAUAUAAACAAACUUUAGAGUCUCAUUCUAGUAAAUUUGUACGUAAUUCAAACAAUAAAGCCAUGAACAUGGACAGAGAGACUAAUUCAGCAAAUCAAAGAAGCCCUAUAUCAAGAUUGGUUACACGAAAAAAUUCCGUGCAUACUCACCUCAAAGUUGUUCCUUCUUGUUUAUUUCUUCUUUCAUAUGGUCCAAUAGCCGAUCAAUUAAUUCAUCGUCUCUCUCUUUAUUCACGAACAAAUCUUUUAUCUCUCUUAUCGUUUCUCGGUAAAUCUUACCUUCUUCCUCUACUAGGACUAGCUUCAAUGAUUCUGCCACCGCAUCCCAUGUAAACGAACCAUCUAAUUCGUUCCUCGGAACUGAGUAACCCAUCUUCUUCUCUUCCAACACCCUCGCAUUGAUUCCUUGAUCUGCAAGAAAUGUCAGUAACACCAAAGCCUUUUCACUCUGAAUCGCUUCCACAACCGAGCUCCAACCGGAGUGUGUCAAAAACCCACCCACUGACUCAUGCCCCAAUAUUUUCAACUGUGGCGCCCAGGUAGUCCACACAACACCCCGCCCUUUGGUUCGUUCCUCAAAGCCCUCGGGUAAUUCAAUUGGGUCUGGGUCGCUUGGUCCUCGUCGUGUCCUAAACACCCAAAAGAAUCGCAGCUCUGAUUUUUCCAAUCCUAAAGCGAUUUCUGUCA
rnacentral:lncRNA from 1 species